rnacentral:rRNA from 1 species
CCGGCAUCAUAAGCAUGAUACAAGUCGAACGAAGGCUUCGGCCUUAGUGGCGCACGGGUGCGUCUGGAAUCUGCCCUCAGGUUCGGAAUAACUUCGGGAAACUGAAGCUAAUACCGGAUGAUAUCGCAAGAUCAAAGAUUUAUCGCCUGAGGAUGAGCCCGCGUAGGAUUAGUUAGUUGGUGUGGUAAAGGCGCACCAAUGCGACGAUCCUUAGCUGGUCUGAGAGGAUGAUCAGCCACACUGGGACUGAGACACGGCCCAGACUCCUACGGGAGGCAGCAGUGGGGAAUAUUGGACAAUGGGCGAAAGCCUGAUCCAGCAAUGCCGCGUGAGUGAUGAAGGCCUUAGGGUUGUAACGCUCUUUUACCCGGGAUGAUAAUGACAGUACCGGGAGAAUAAGCUCCGGCUAACUCCGUGCCAGCAGCCGCGGUAAUACGGAAGGAGCUAGCGUUAUUCGGAAUUACUGGCCCAAGGCCGUAGCGC